UACGUAGGGGGCAAGCGUUGUCCGGAAUCAUUGGGCGUAAAGAGCGUGUAGGCGGCUCGAUAAGUCUGCUGUGAAAGUCCAGGGCUCAACCCUGGAAGGCCGGUGGAAACUGUCGGGCUAGAGUCCGGAAGAGGCGAGUGGAAUUCCCGGUGUAGCGGUGAAAUGCGCAGAUAUCGGGAGGAACACCGAUGGCGAAGGCGCAGCUCGCUGGGACGGUACUGACGCUGAGACGCGAAAGCGUGGGGAGCAACAGG
rnacentral:rRNA from 1 species